UGGGGUCACUGCUGUUGAUAGAGGUCAGUGUAGGGAUUCCUGUUGAGAGCAGCAGUGAAGAAUCUGCCUCUGUGCAGUCCUGGUUUCCCCUUCCAUCCUCCAGUCCUUGUGCUGUCCUCCUUGGAAUGCCGCCAAGCCUGGAUCCUGCUCCUCGGCUGUGGGUGGAGGUGGAGUGGCUCUUUGGUAAACAGAAUUAGAGGCAAAGGUGGGAGGUUCCUGAAGUCACCUGUGAGCUGCCUCCUCCCAUACCUGGACCCGGGCUGCCUGCGAGGCGCUUUAAAUUGCCACUUGGCGCAGCCCUGGACACAGACUUCAUCGGCAUGGCACGAAGCAUCCUCCUGCUGGGGCUCCUCGCCCUGUGGGUGCAGCUGCAGGCAGCACCCAUUGCAGAGUUCCAUGGAGUAGCUCCAGCUGGGUGGCCACCACCAGCGCAGCUGGGAAGUGCCCUGAGCCUUGAGCCUGGGAAAGAGCCCAGGAUGGUGCCUGACAAUGGUGAUGGUGACAAUGACAAUAACAGCUCAAAUAGCAAUGAAAUGGGUGACUCCAAUAGCAGUGAAACUGGUGAUGAUGGCAACAAUCCCAAUGACCAUGAUGAUGAUGAUGGUGAUAAAAAUAAGCUUUGUGAUUGCAAUGACCAUGGUGACAACAAUGGUGAUGAUGGUGUCAAUGGUGACAAUUCCAAUAGCAAUGAAGAUGGUGAUGAUGGUGAUAAAAAUGACCUUUUUGAUAGCAAGGACAAUGACAAUGAUAAUGGUGGCAAUGACAGUGAUGAUGGCAAUGAUGAUGGUGAUGAUCUCAUCAAUGAUGAAAAUUCCANNNNNNNNNNNNNNNNNNNNNNNNNNNNNNNNNNNNNNNNNNNNNUGAUGAAAAUUCCAACAGCAAUGAUGAUGGUGAUGAUCUCAUCAAUGAUGAAAAUUCCAACAGCAAUGAAGAUGGUGAUGAUGACAUCAACAGUGACGGUUCCAAUAGCAGUGAAGAUGGUGACUCCAAUGACAAUGGAUAUGAUUACUCCAAUAACAAUGAAAAUUAUGCUGAUUAUGGGGGGUGGGGAUUUUAGAUUGUAACAGUUGGGAUCUGCAGAGAUUUUUGGGUUUCUCUUUUGUGGCACCCAGCUCAGACUACCAGAUUUGAUGAUUGUUCUGUGCCAAUAAAUGUAUCUAUUGAACCUGAGAGUUUAGUGUC
rnacentral:lncRNA from 1 species